GAGAACAAGAUGGAGAAGCAGGGCACGUGCAACAAUAACUUCAGAAAUAAUCACAUUCUCCUCUGUUUCACCAAUCAAACAGACUAUGUUGUAGAUACAGUGAAGUUAGUAUUUCAUGUGCCCCUCUUCCCCAUCAUGAUCGC
rnacentral:pre_miRNA from 2 species